AUUUGGUCUAUAGGAAUGUGUCUUCCAGGAAUGAUACCAAUUGGUAAUUGUGGUUGUUCAGAAUGCCCAGAUUUUUGCUGUAUUCCAGAGCCACCACCAAAACCAAAAACGACACCUAAGCCAACAACGAGGCCUACGACUCCUCCUCCUCCUCCUACACCUCCUCCUCCUCCUCCACCUCCCCCUCCUCCUCCUCCACC